rnacentral:telomerase_RNA from 1 species
CGCCGAUGACAGAUGUUAGCCCUGCUUUGACCACCCACCGUCUUUCUUCACCUCCUGCGAUAGUGCUGUUUGACAGCACCGACCAGUCCAAGCACGUCCCGCCUCUCGAGCAGGACCAUACACACCCGCAUACCGUGGCAGAAUACAGGACAAAUGCAGCAUUCAACCCGUCUUCGAUCUUGCGCCCGCCUUUCCCGCGUCACCUCUUGCACACACGUCUGCCUUGACGCAAAGCUUUUUUGCGAUUUCUGCUCCUGUCUCUCUUCUGGGUUUUCCAAAUUCGGAUCCUACCUUGACUAGGCCUUGCUUUUCGGCAGGGCUGUGUCGGUGUGGAGCGAAUGGUACAGCGGAGAUCUUGACGGGAGCUGGUAGAGGGCGGUACUCGUUGUCGAGAGAACGGUCGAGGGGGAGAGGUAGCCUAUAUUCAGGCUUUAAAGUUUAGGUGCUCGACGAUCCUAACCCUAAGUUGUCUACAAAGCAGAGAUGAUACGAGGCUUGCGCAAACAGAGCAUUUGCUUUGGAUUGCCGAGGUUCUCUUUGGAAAGGGACGUCCGUGUGAUGGACGCGUUCUUUUUGCCUCUGUUGCUUUUUCUUUUCUCGAUUCUCUCUUUCGACCAUCAGGUCUCUUUGAUAUGUAUGCUUUUCAAGCAUGGAUAUUUGUGAUGAUGGGGGUUACGCGGAGAGAAUCGGCGAAAUCAUUUCUAGGAAGUAUAAUCUAUCUUUUGCGAUAGAAGCAGCCUUUCUCUUGCUUUUCUUUUCUUCAGUCCUCUGAGGAAAGAGAGGGAGGGGAAGGGGAGGCGGUUUUGGUUUUUGUUCGGUUUCUUCUUUUCCAAAAUUGCUGUCUUAAGGCGCAAAAAAACGAAGAACGAAUGCCCGUUUGGUUUCUGGUUUCUGCGAUUGUAUGGUUCAAGGUGACGGAUGUUUUGCGAGGAGAAGAAAGACCGAUGGGGGUUACAAACAGAAGGCGAAAGCUUCUCGAGGCGCGAUACUGGUUCUUUCCAGCCCACCUUUACUUUUCCUUUCUGUUUGCUCUCUCUCCUUUCUUUCCACCCUUCUUUCAGCUUGUAAAGCAUGAUUUCGAGACUUCGAGGAAAGAAUUCCCAGAGUGGGGAAGGAACGAUCUUGCGUUUCCAACAGCUCUACGGAGUGAUUUUCGCUUUCUUCCAUGGUGAUGUUUCCUUUUCGUUUUCGACUCUCGCUCGGCUCUUCAGAUCCUGGCCGAGAACUUGGUUCUGGAUCUUUAGAGCUGCAUUGGGGGGGAAAAAAUGGAGGAUACUCUCCUGGGAAAAAGUCGGUUGGGUAUAGAGCUUCGUUUGCUCGCCUCUUGAUCUUUCCUUCUCCCCCUCUCGAGAACCAUACUCAUGUCGACCCACACGUGGGGGUGUAGAAAGUGAGAGUUGCGAGAAAGUCGGGCAAGUACAGGUGGUAUAGUGCAAUUUUUCUCUCUCUUUCAGGA